AUUGAACGCUGGCGGCAGGCCUAACACAUGCAAGUCGAACGAGUGGCGGACGGGUGAGUAAUGUCUGGGAAACUGCCUGAUGGAGGGGGAUAACUACUGGAAACGGUAGCUAAUACCGCAUACCAUCGGAUGUGCCCAGAUGGGAUGAGCUAGUAGGUGGGGUAAAGGCUCACCUAGGCGACUAUCCCUAGCUGGUAUGAGAGGAUGACCAGCCACACUGCAACUGAGUCGCAGUCCAGACUCCUAAGUCAGGCAGCAGUGGGGAAUAUUGCACAAUGGGCCCAAGCCUGAUGCAGCCAUGCCGCGUGUAUGAAGAAGGCCUUCAGGUUGUAAAGUACUUUCCGCGGCGAGGCGUUACCCGCAGAAGAAGCACCGGCUAACUCCGUGCCAGCAGCCGCGGUAAUUC
rnacentral:rRNA from 1 species